rnacentral:lncRNA from 1 species
UGUAAAAGGGAGUUGAAAGUGGCGUUGGUGCACUCCCUGGAAUACCUUCAUCUAAGGUAUGUCCAGUUUACUUUAACUUUUUUGGAAGCUCCUUUAACCCAAAUGGAAGCACACUUUUCCCUAUAAGCGCUGGGAAAGGCAGGGUGAUUUGACCACAGCAUCUAUCAUUGCAAACAGACGUAUGCAAUCUAUAUUCCGAACUGAUGUCAGCUGGCCUGAUUACCGAAGAAAUUAGAGCAACUCCACCAAAACACAAUUCCAGAGCAUCAGGGUCGUAGCAAUCCUCACCUGGCUUCCAGGCACGGCUGUCCUGGGGGAUGCACGGAAAGUCACGGAAGAAGAUGGGAGUACUUCACCUUGGCUGCCAUCACACAGACAGUUUAUGUCAGUUCCACCAGGGUGCUCCUUCUUGCCAGCAGCUGGGGCAUGUGGAAAGUCUUGCAGGAGCCAAAAUGAUCAUUACAUCUGUCAGGCACUGUUGUGUGCAAGUGGAACUCCACGUUGGAUCAGAAUUUUUCUUCCUAAGUCCUUUAUUGGAAAUGUAGAGUCAAACUGUGUGGACUAGGAACAAAUCUGUGUCAAGAUACUUCUGAUGGGGUGCUCAGAACCUUAUAUUGUAUCUUUAAAGCCAAACUAAACCCUGUAUUUAAAGCAAGUUAUACUGCUUCAAACUGUUCAGCAAGGGUGUGAGCCUGAUCAGGAGCUCCCAACCAAGGAAUCUCACUGUGCUGGAUGAGCCUGUUUAUUCCCCUUGUCUUAAAAUAUUGGGAAAAUUUGUGACUUUGUAGAAAUUCAUUAUUUUCAAACUGCUUCCACUGAUUUCGGAGGCCAUGUUGGAGAUAAGGGGAAAAGGAGCGGCUCUGGUUAUUCUGAAGAGCCAUUCAGGAUACAGGGGAGGUCUACAAGCACUUAGAGAUCUGCCUGAUUUCAGCUGCCUAUCCCUGUGUGCACGUUUUGUGGAAUUUUAAAAACAAUUUCUUUACAGAAACUCCUUCUGAAGGGAACAUAUGAUAUUCUCUGAAUUGUUUGGAUUGGCUUAGAUUAUAGAGGCUUCUUCUGAGAAAGAAAUCAAAGUAGGCUUCUGGUGAGAUGAACACGUAACAUAUUGAUAAAUGUAGUUACAUAUAUGAACCGGGUAAGAAAUAAUAGCGGAGAUUCUUACAUAUGAUUCUUACAGUUCUUGACAGCUUGAACUCCCACAUGCUUGACUAGUUCAAUACUGGAUUAGUGUGAUGCCUGCUUGGCAGAUCCUGUGGGGCAUAGACUCGGCAAGAAACACAUCAUUCAGGAUUUUGGGGACAGCUUGUAAACUAUCCAGCACCACUGGCAAUCCCACUCCAAUCAAAGUCAAGCUCGAAAGUGGAAUGAGGGGAAAAAGAGAAGCUCUUGUAUUUACGCUCCUAUAAUUUAUGUUCUAAAUUGAGAUUUACCCAUUUCUGUAGAAGAGCACCACUGAAAGAUUGCUUUGUAAAAUAAUAUGAACUGUACUGAGCAAGCUAUAAGAUACUUACAGAAGCAAGAAGGAAAAUCAGAAUGAAUGUGAAAAGACUGCACUGAAAUUGUGAUUAUUUUUACUGGUAAAACAGCAGUUGCUAUUAAUAAAGCCAUGGUGUUCGCUCUUAACA